rnacentral:rRNA from 1 species
UACAGAGGGUGCGAGCGUUGUCCGGAAUCACUGGGCGUAAAGGGCGCGUAGGUGGCCCGACAAGUCACUGGUGAAAGCUCGACGCUCAACGUCGAGUCGGCCAGUGAUACUGUUGGGCUGGAGCACUGUAGAGGCUCAUGGAAUUCCGGGUGUAGCGGUGGAAUGCGUAGAGAUCCGGAAGAACACCGGUGGCGAAGGCGGCUUGCUGGACCUGGUCUGACGCUGAGGCGCGAAAGCGUGGGGAGCGAACAGG